CCGCGAGAAAGAGUCCCCGGGGCUCCCUCAAAGAGACCCCACGGGGCGGCGGAGAGCUCCAAACGCCGUCUCCUCCGCUUCCUCCUCCUUCCUCUUCUGCUCUGCGGGGACCCCUCUUCCCGCCAGCCUGCCGAGCCAGGCGGACCGCUGCCCCUCUCACCCUGCUCCGAAGUUUCUUCUUCUUUCUUGAGGCUGAGCCCGCGACCUCACCGCCCCGUCCGAGGAGACGCCGUCUGCCCCUACGCUCACGUCGGCGGAGGGACACCGCGGACAAACGCUGCCUUGUGUCCGACGCCGCGUAAGGAUACACCACGCGAGAGGAAAUCCAGGGCCCACCGCCGCGGCCCUUCCUACUUCCUCUUCCUCCUUCUCCUCCUCGUCCUCCUCCUGCUGCUGCUUCAGGCUGGUGGGCGCAGCGGCAGCUCGGCAGCCCGCCAGCCUUCGUGCCCCGCUUGCUGAGGAGGCAAAGCGCGGUUCCCAGAUUCCAUGGCUCCUCAGGAGGCGCUGUGCCGUGGCGGAGGGAUUUCUGUAACAGAAAACAAGUCCCAGACCUCCCCCUGCUGCUCUGACCGCUCGGAUCGGGAUGCGGAGAAGAAGAUGGAUGCAUCAAGUUGCUCUGAAUAUUCAUGGGAAUACCUUGCAGUCCCCUCCAAUUUUAGACUGGAAGAUCCUGGCUUCAGCCUUCACAGAAACAAGAGUUUUCCAUAACUCCAGCAAAGAGCUCAGCACUAUUACCCAGUGAAGUAAAAUCAUGAGGAAAUGGAAGAACAAGGAAGGAGCCAAAGUAAAUUGUCUGGUGUAAUGAGCUUGAUCCUCCA